UUUCUGUUUAGUGUGUUUUGCACCUGACGGAGCUGUUUCGGGUGUUUUUUUUUUGUUGUUGCUUGUUGUAUAGUGUUCAGUUUAAAUUUUUAAAAGAUGAAUACGUACCACGCUGCACCUUGGUCCUUACCUUCAUCCACCAAAGGCCGUUACAGAACUACCCACCACCAAAGGACCAAGCAGCGUAGGUUAAUGGACUCCUGGACAUGGGAGGAGAUCCAGGACGGGAAGGGACCCUGGAGGCAGGCUGGGGAGUAUCGCCAUCCACAGGAGGAACUGGAGGCAGCUAAGGCUGAGUGGCAACACUACAAGGAGUUGGCACAGCAGCGCAAGCACGAGAGGCAGCUGGGAGUGUGGCGGAGACCUGGGAGCACGGGGAGCGGUGACUGAGACACCCCCUAUGCUACUUUGAGACCCCUCUUUUCAAAGUCACUGAGAUGUCUUCUUCUAGCCAUGUUAGCCAAACUACUGGGCAUACUUAUACAUGACCCUAACCUGUAACACUACUGCUACUCUCGUGGGGGAAUGUGUCACACCUCCUACACCUGUAUCUGUGGAACGACAUCCUUCAAGCCACUGUAAUGGUCCCAAGCCCUCAGGUUUUCAGUUCAAAGCUCUACAGUUCAACUGUAUCAUCAGAACAUGCAGCUGGCAGUAGAGAUAACAUUUAGGAUUCAGGGGAACUGGCACUGUAUGCAGGGAUCGGGGUGUCUUGACAUUUUGGAGCCCAAGCUUUACUGUACUGUUUGUGCUACUGGCAGAUCCAGUUCCUCUCUGCUGGUCCAGGACUGCUGGUCCAGGACUGCUACUGCUGGUGGUGAACAACAUCAGUCUAUUUUUGAUUAAAUGUUUUUCAGUAAAUAUGAUGAUUACAGUUUGGCCUGUAAACUGUUGUUGUAAUGAGCUUCUCUUUAUCUUCAUUUAAGAAAAAAGUAUGAGGGUAAUUUUGCAAUCUUGCACAAAUGUGGUUCUAUUUUAUUAUUUGACCCGCAUGCCCACUGUCUUGAUAAUGAUGAUAAAUGUUUUAUAUAUUCAACGGAGGACACUACUCAUCUC
ensembl:lncRNA